UACGUAGGGGGCUAGCGUUGUCCGGAUUUAUUGGGCGUAAAGAGCUCGUAGGCGGUUCGGUAAGUCGGAUGUGAAAUCUCCAGGCUCAACCUGGAGGGGUCAUUCGAUACUGCCGUGACUAGAGUUCGGUAGAGGAGUGUGGAAUUCCUGGUGGAGCGGUGAAAUGCGCAGAUAUCAGGAGGAACACCGGUGGCGAAGGCGGAUCUCUGGGCCUGAUCUGACGCUGAGGCGCGAAAGCUAGGGGAGCGAACAGG
rnacentral:rRNA from 1 species